rnacentral:lncRNA from 1 species
CACUAUUGUCGGACGAGUGACAGUCCAGAGGCUGCUAACUGAAGCACUCGCCGCAUCCACUCCGAGGGAGUUCCAGAUACUCGCAGCAAAGGGGCAGUGAAACAUAAUGUGGUCGCAAUCUUCAGCUUGGCCGCAUAGCUCACAUGAAUCAUCCUUCGGGAUCUGCUUCUUGACUAGGUUAGUGCGACAUUGAAUGCGUUCUUGGAC